rnacentral:rRNA from 1 species
AGAGUUUGAUCCUGGCUCAGGAUGAACGCUAGCUACAGGCUUAACACAUGCAAGUCGAGGGGAAACGAUAUUGGAAGCUUGCUUCCGAUAGGCGUCGACCGGCGCACGGGUGAGUAACGCGUAUCCAACCUGCCCACCACUUGGGGAUAACCUUGCGAAAGUAAGACUAAUACCCAAUGAUAUCUCUAGAAGACAUCUGAAAGAGAUUAAAGAUUUAUCGGUGAUGGAUGGGGAUGCGUUCCAUUAGGUAGUAGGCGGGGUAAUGGCCCACUAGCCGACGAUGGAUAGGGGUUCUGAGAGGAAGGUCCCCCANAUUGGAACUGAGACACGGUCCAAACUCCUACGGGAGGCA